CAGCCGCCGCGGUAAUACGAAGGGGGCUAGCGUUGUUCGGAAUUACUGGGCGUAAAGCGCACGCAGGCGGCUCGAUAAAUUAGAAGUGAAAGCCUUGGGCUUAACCUGAGAAUUGCUUUUAAGACUGUCGAGCUAGAAUCCAGAAGAGGGUAGUGGAAUUCCGAGUGUAGAGGUGAAAUUCGUAGAUAUUCGGAAGAACACCAGUGGCGAAGGCGACUACCUGGUCUGGCAUUGACGCUCAUGUGCGAAAGCGUGGGGAGCAAACAGGAUUAGAGACCCCGGUAGUCCCUGUCUCUUAUAC
rnacentral:rRNA from 1 species